AGCAGGGACGAAGCGCAAGUGACGGUACCUGCAGAAGAAGCGCCGGCCAACUACGUGCCAGCAGCCGCGGUAAGACGUAGGGCGCGAGCGUUGUCCGGAUUUAUUGGGCGUAAAGAGCUCGUAGGCGGCUUGUCGCGUCGACUGUGAAAACUUGGGGCUCAACUCCAAGCUUGCAGUCGAUACGGGCAGGCUAGAGUUCGGUAGGGGAGACUGGAAUUCCUGGUGUAGCGGUGAAAUGCGCAGAUAUCAGGAGGAACACCGGUGGCGAAGGCGGGUCUCUGGGCCGAUACUGACGCUGAGGAGCGAAAGCGUGGGGAGCGAACAGGAUUAGAUACCCUGGUAGUCCACGCUGUAAACGUUGGGCGCUAGGUGUGGGGGACCUCUCCGGUCUUCUGCGCCGCAGCUAACGCAUUAAGCGCCCCGCCUGGGGAGUACGGCCGUCAGGCUAAAACUCAAAGGAAUUGACGGGGGCUCGCACAAGCGGCGGAGCAU
rnacentral:rRNA from 1 species